CGUGGGUAUCAAUUUUUGUGCAAUAUGGAAAACUUUCGUGGGUAUUUGAUUUCGUGGUUUUGUCAAUCUCUGCAUAGAAAGCCUAUACAAAAUGUGUAGUUCGUUGAAAAUUUAUUUUCAUGGUUCACCUGUUCCCACGAAAAUUGGUAUCCAACGAAUAAUAAUGAAUCCCCAGUAUAAUCAUAACCACUACAAAAAUAAUCAAAGAUGUAAC
rnacentral:lncRNA from 1 species